rnacentral:rRNA from 1 species
GACGAACGCUGGCGGCGUGCUUAACACAUGCAAGUCGAACGGAAAGGCCCUGCUUUUGUGGGGUGCUCGAGUGGCGAACGGGUGAGUAACACGUGAGUAACCUGCCCUUGACUUUGGGAUAACUUCAGGAAACUGGGGCUAAUACCGGAUAUGAGCUCCUGCUGCAUGGUGGGGGUUGGAAAGUUUCGGCGGUUGGGGAUGGACUUGCGGUUUAUCAGCUUGUUGGUGGGGUAGUGGCUUACCAAGGCUUUGACGGGUAGCCGGCCUGAGAGGGUGACCGGCCACAUUGGGACUGAGAUACGGCCCAGAGUCCUACGGGAGGCAGCAGUGGAGAAUAUUGCACAAUGGGCGGAAGCCUGAUGCAGCAACGCCGCGUGCGGGAUGACGGCCUUCGGGUUGUAAACCGCUUUCGCCUGUGACGAAGCGUGAGUGACGGUAAUGGGUAAAGAAGCACCGGCUAACUACGUG